CAAGGAGGAGUCGGAGGAAGAAACCAAGGAAGAGAAGGAUGAUGAAGAAGGGGAGAAAAAGGAUAAAGAGAAGAAACUUAAGAAGGUUAAGAAAGAAAAAAAGGAAAAAGUGAAGAGCGAGGAGGAGUCGAAGGGAGAAAAGGAUGAAGAAAAAGUGGAGAAGAAACUCAAGAUAGUUAAGAUUGAGGAAAAGGAAAAAGAGAAGAAAGACAAGAGCAAGGAGGAGUCGGAGGAAGAAACCAAGGAAGAGAAGGAUGAUGAAGAAGGGGAGAAAAGGAUAAAGAGAAGAAACUUAAGAAGGUUAAGAAAGAAAAAAGGAAAAAGUGAAGAGCGAGGAGGAGUCGAAGGGAGAAAAGGAUGAAGAAAAAGUGGAGAAGAAACUCAAGAUAGUUAAGAUUGAGGAAAAGGAAAAAGAGAAGAAAGACAAGAGCAAAGAGGGGUCGGAGGAAGAAAAAGUGGAGAAGAAACUCAAGAUAGUUAAGAUUGAGAAAAAGGAAAAAGAGAAGAAAGACAAGAGCAAGGAGGAGUCGGAGGAAGCAACGAAU
rnacentral:lncRNA from 1 species